rnacentral:rRNA from 1 species
UACGGAGGGGGCUAGCGUUGUUCGGAAUUACUGGGCGUAAAGCGCACGUAGGCGGCUUUGCAAGUUAGAGGUGAAAGCCCAGGGCUUAACCCUGGAAUUGCCUUUAAAACUGCAUCGCUAGAAUUGUGGAGAGGUAAGUGGAAUUCCGAGUGUAGAGGUGAAAUUCGUAGAUAUUCGGAAGAACACCAGUGGCGAAGGCGGCUCACUGGCCCGAUACUGACGCUGAGGCACGAAAGCGUGGGGAGCAAACAGG